rnacentral:lncRNA from 1 species
GUCUAACUGUAGCGGAUGAACAGAGGGUCAGGUCUAACUGUAGCGGAUGAACAGAGGUCAGGUCCAACUGUAGCGGAUGAACAGAGGUCAGGUCCAACUGUAGCGGAUGAACAGAGGUCAGGUCCAACUGUAGCGGAUGAACAGAGGUCAGGUCUAACUGGAGCGGAUGAACAGAGGUCAGGUCUAACUGGAGCGGAUGAACAGACAUGGUUGGAUUUCCUGUUCAGACUACUGGUUGUUUCCUUGUCUUCUGCACCUGUUUUGGUCAAUAGUGAACAUACUCUCCCCCCCCCCACACACUCACACACACACACACUCCCCCACACACACACACUCCCCCACCACACACACAGCGUUAAUCCCUGGCUUCUGAUCUGCGUGUAGUCUUUCAUGUAAAGCCAGCCCUGUGAUGCCUGGUAACCCGAUACAGCCGC